rnacentral:rRNA from 1 species
GACGAACGCUGGCGGCGUGCUUAACACAUGCAAGUCGAACGGAAAGGCCCUGCUUUUGUGGGGUGCUCGAGUGGCGAACGGGUGAGUAACACGUGAGUAACCUGCCCUUGACUUUGGGAUAACUUCAGGAAACUGGGGCUAAUACCGGAUAGGAGCUCCUGCUGCAUGGUGGGGGUUGGAAAGUUUCGGCGGUUGGGGAUGGACUCGCGGCUUAUCAGCUUGUUGGUGGGGUAGUGGCUUACCAAGGCUUUGACGGGUAGCCGGCCUGAGAGGGGGACCGGCCACAUUGGGACUGAGAUACGGCACAGACUCCUACGGGAGGCAGCAGUGGGGAAUAUUGCACAAGGGGCGGAAGCCUGAUGCAGCAACGCCGCGUGCGGGAGGAAGGCCUUCGGGUGGUAAACCGCUUUCGCCUGUGACGAAGCGGGAGUGACGGUAAUGGGUAAAGAAGCACCGGCUAACUACGUG